UCCUUCUACUGAUUCUGUUUCCUUUGCCUCUCCUCCUCUUGUUUGUAAGUUGAAAAAGUCUCUUUAUGGGCUGAGACAUGCAUCCAGAUAAUGGUAUGCUAAAUUGUCUUAUGCUCUCUACUCAAGAGGCUAUACACAUUCUUUGAAUGAUUAUUCUCUGUUCAUCAAAGGACAACCUGGCUGUCUUGUGGUUGUGGCAGUCUAUGUGGAUGAUAUUAUUAUUACUGGGGAUGACAAUGAUGAGCUUUCUGCCCUGAAACUGUUUCUGGAUGAUCAGUUCAGGAUUAAAGACCUGGGGUCUUUGCAUUAUUUUUUGGGCAUAGGGAUGUCUGUUGUUCUUGGUGGUAUGCUCCUUAAUCAGCAUAAGUAUGUUUCUGACCUGCUGCAUCAAUUUGACUAUAUGAAUGUUUCUCCUGUUGUUUGUCCUUUGGAUCUUAAUGUCAAACUCCAUGUUGAUUCUGGUGACCUCUUCUCCUCCCCUGAUCAAUAUAGGAGCAUUGUUGGUAAGCUCUUAUUUUUCCCUGAAACUGUUUCUAGAUGAUCAGUUCAGGAUUAAAGACCUGGGGUCUUUGCAUUAUUUUUUGGGCAUAGGGAUGUCUGUUGUUCUUGGUGGGAUGCUCCUUAAUUAGCAUAAGUAUGUUUCUGACCUGCUGCAUCAAUUUGACUAUAUGAAUGUUUCUCCUGUUGUUUGUCCUUUGGAUCUUAAUGUCAAACUCCAUGUUGAUUCUGGUGACCUUCUCUUCUCCCCUGAUCAAUAUAGGAGCCUUAUUGGUAAGCUCUUAUUUUUGACUCACACAAGGCCUGACAUUUACUUUGUUGUUCAGCAUCUGAGUCAAUUUUUGAAGUGUCCCAGAG
rnacentral:lncRNA from 1 species